rnacentral:lncRNA from 1 species
CCAAUUUGCCUGGCCCACAAUAAAAACCAAAUAAAUAAAAAUUAUUAAAAGUCUAAUGUCAAUAAAGUCCAAUUACAAUGGGCCAAAUUCGGAUUGAAGCCCAAUCACCUAACCCUAACCUAACACAAAAUAUUUUUCAACCAACCAAAACCCUAAGCCUUCAACCGCCGCAACUUGAAACCAGGCCCUUGCCCUCACGUGCGCCUCCGUACAUGCCACGUCUGCUGUCUCCUCCAGCUGGCCUGUGCAACAAACAACAAACAAUAUCAACAGAGCAAAGAAAAAAGGACGCAGUAAAAAAAGGAGAAUAACAGAAUAGAUAGAGGGUUCUUUUUUUCUUCUUUUUUUGGUUAUUGAGGCUAUAUAAAAGCUAAAAAGAAAUUUGUAAAAGGGGGAGGAAUAUUGUAUCAAAGAAAUUUUUGAAAGAAGGGCAAUAGAAAAACAAUUUCUAAAAGUGAUUGGCUUGGUGAUUCUUGUUUGAUUUUUUUUUUCUGAUUUUGCAUCUGUUCUCAUCUUUUUGCAGUAAAAAGGAGCUAAAUUAAAGAAAAAUGGUUUAGAAUACUUACCUGGAUCGGUGCGCCGCCGAAACCUUCAUCGCCUCUAUUCAAAUCGGAGAGGAAGGGUGAGGGUUUUGCGUCGAAACGGCGCCCUUAGGGGUGGCCUUCAGUUUUUUUUAGUUUCUUAAAGGGGGAUAAGGUGUCUAGGGUUUUUAUUUAUUUAUUUAAUAUUAUACUGAUUAUUGAAACGGUGUCGUUUAGAUCUUGUUCCAAUGGUUUAAAACGGCACCGCAUUGGCACUUACCCGAUGACCCGAUCCAACUGUGGCUAGAUCCGCACGUUUUGGUGUGGGGAGGGAUAAUUGCGCGUCCAGUCUUUCUUACUUUGCGCUGUGUUCCAAUUCGAUCCUUUAAGUUUCUUUAAUUUUGGGUAGCAUAAUUUGUUGUUGAUUUCAUCUUGGUCCACUAUGCAACACAGCGUUUUGGGGGACAAGAAUUUCCUAUUUCAGUCCCCCAUGUUAUUCGCACUUUGUAAUUCGGUCCUUUCCUUUUACUUAUUUUAGAUUUCUCCCCUGAAUUACUGCGUUAAUGCCAAUUCGAUCCUUUGUUUUGUAUUUAUUGCUAAAAUUGUUUAGUUUAUUAUUACUAUUAUUAUUAUUUUUAAUGUUACUAUCAUUAUAAUUGUUGAUGAUAUUAUUUAUAAUAAUUUACAUAAAUUUAUUUACC